rnacentral:lncRNA from 1 species
UGUUCUGGUUGAAACAAUUUAAGUCUCCCAUUGUAGCACAUUUAAUAAAUUAUAUAUGCAAGGAAGCUGAAUGGAAAUCAUUGACAUGCCUUUCUUGUUCUGAUUUUUUCUUCUUCUGGAUAAGUUCAUCGUUCCGAUUUAUAUGGGAAAUAUGGAAUGGCAAUAGAAAAAGAGAAUGAGGAUUUUUGAAGUGGGAAAAACAAUUAUAGCAACUAUUGAGCCUCCUGUCUUUAUUUUAAGAAAACAAAAAUAACAAAAAUGGGGUAAAAAUUUAUCUUCAGUCAACGUGUAAACCCUAGAACUAGGUUAUACGUGCAGGAAGGUGUUAGUAAAUAUACUUUUCCCUCAUUUGUUGUUUAAGGGUUUCCAAUGGAUUUUAUCAUGUCCUGAGCCACUCUACAGAUUGCUUUAAGGUUUUGUGGAUGCUCAGAUCUCUACUCUUAUUUCAAUUAGGAUUAAGGAUAUGUUUUUAUGUUUGAGCUUGGUAUAGUAGGAUUUAAAUUGUAAUUGAAAUUAUGGAAAGUUUGAGGACUUUAAUGGGCAAUUGUCAUGUCAGGGUUACAAUAAUCUAAAAUGUACUAAUAUAGUAGUUUAAAAUUUUCAAAGGGAAAGCUCGGCUAUAAACAACUGAACGAAUUAGGCUAUUAAAUCAGUACAAAGGACUUCUCAGAAAAAACAAAAAUUAGUACAGAGGGACUAAUCACUUUUGACAAGAAUUAGUUUGUCUUGAUCAGUCAAUACAAAGGGACUAAUCACUCUUAACAAUGCCAAAAAGUACAUAGUGUCAGUUACAUGAAACAGGUUUAUGCUUUUAUAAUCUACAAAACCUGAUUCAUAUUAAUUUACUUUCAUUAUUGCAUGCUUUUAGCUUUUGACGAACUGUUAGGGCCAAGUUAAGAUUUACUGUCUUUACUGUAGUUUUAGCGACUAGAUUGUGACCUAGAUCUUGCUAUGUGAUAAGGUAUUCAGGUCGUAGAUCGAUUAUUAAAAUAAUAAUAAUAAAUUCAAUUAAUAGUUGCAGACAUGGUUUAAUUUCUCUUGUGCUGGACCUUCUCUUUUGUGGGGUGCAGUCAGAUAUUAGAUAUGACUGAUGUUGCCAUUUUUCACAAUGAUAUUAAUUCAAUUAGUGGUUUGCAUGUAUAGUACCAAAAAACAUCAGUUUAAUAUUACUUGUGUGCUGGACCUUCCCUUUGAGCGGCUUGUUGCCUUAUAAUGUGGUCAUUUUAUGUUAAAAGGACCUCUAUUAGUUUAUUAUGCUUUAAUAUUUCACUCUGAAUUUUGCAGAACCGCCACACCUUUGAAAAGCCAGUCAAGAUAUACAAUUGAAAAGGGUCUGUGAUACUCCAGCGGGGGGCUUUGGUUGUACAGCGUACACCCCUCAAAAGCUAGAAGGGAUUUGUAAAAGAGUUGUGAGCUAUGGCAGGAUGAUAAGUAGAAUGAAGAGAAGAGAUUAGCAUGAAUAUUAUUUUCCUCCUGGUAAUUUGGUCAGACUGCAGGCUAUUGUUCUUCCUUUUAGUUUGGUUUGGGUAAGGGAGGUUUGUAUUUUGCUCUUUAGUUUAGUUAGGAUGUGCGCUGCAGUUUCUGCCCUCACCUUCAGCUAUUACUCUGCUGAGGGUUGGGUCUUUUUGACAUUAUCUUCUGCAUAUAAGAUUUUGGUUGAAGGGAUGUAUAGUUGAUAUAGUUGGGUGCAUUCUGGACUUGCAUUAUCUGCAUUUUAUUUUACAGAAUUUUCCCAUUCCUCAGUUUGGUUGUAUGUAUGUAAUGUCAUACUUGUGAGGGAUGGGUUUGUAAAAUCUCCCUAUAGUAUUGAUAUAUGUUUCUUUGCUUCAUAUCUCUGUCUUUGUUUUUGCUGUUGGUUUAGUUUGGCCGAAACUGAGAAAACCGCGCUCUCAAGUAUGUGAAUUAUUCAUUUGUCGGCUAUAUUUUUGUUUCUUUUGUUAAUGAAGGCCCGCUGGACUGGGAGAAGUGUUAAUUCUCUGCAUUUAUUUUAUCGAGUUAUUUAUGUGGAAACAAUUAUUGCUUAAAACUGAUGAUGCGUUUUUCCCCCUCAUCUUUCUUGAUGACAGACAAUGAUGAUUUAUUAGCCCAUCACUGGAUUGAGAUGUUUCACAGUAAAAUCUUUUAACAAUUUAAUUGUGAUAGCAAGUCAAUUUUUCAGAAUCAACUAAUGACAUCUACGGUUAGAGAGAGAGAGAGUUCAAGAUAACACUAGUUCUUUCUCUUGUUGAUUAAGCUUAGAUAUUCAAUUCUCUGAAACAUCUUCAAUAGUUUUCUCCAACACACCUAAAUUGGUAAUUUUAUUUAGUCCGUAAUCUACUAAUUAAGGUUAAAUAAUUGGCAACAAGUUUACUUGUAGAAUUUUAAUUAUUCAGAUCUCAGAUAAGUGGAUUUGUUUUUAAAAUCUAAAUCUUAAUCAUUAAGUGUUUUUAUAUCACAACCACUUGAUGACUGAAUAGGUCUGUAUAAUUAAAGUUUAUAAAUAGACUUAAUUUCAUUAAAAUACUAGCAUCCCCAUUUAUUACUAACUGCUGCCACCACCUACUAUUAUCAACUACUACCACCACCAUACUCAAUCAUAACCGCCACCACUACCACCACCCCACCCCCAUCACCCCCAACCACAAUUACACACUCACCCACCUCAACUACCACAACCAACCAUCCAUCACCAUCAACAAUCAUAGCCGGCACCGCCCACCAUUAUUAACUAUCACCACCCACCAUCCUUAACCAUAAUUGCCAUGGAUACCAAUCACCACAAGCUACUAUCCAUAACUACCACCAUCAACCAAAAUC